AUGCCAUGAUGAGGGCAUUUUCGCAACAACUCCUUGAGCCGCUCCCAUGCCAUAUAAAGGUUCUUCAUCAAGUUGCUGAAAUGAAGUAAUUUCAUUAUGGAGCUU